UCCGCCCGAGAAUUACGAGCACAAACGCUUAAAACUCUAAGGACUUGGCGGUGCCCCAAACCCACCUAGAGGAGCCUGUUCUGUAAACGACACCCCACGCUACACCCCACCACUCCUUGCCAGAAACAGCCUACAUACCGCCGUCGCCAGCUCACCCUGAUUGAAGGACGCACAGUGAGCACAAUAGCCGCCCGCUAACACGACAGGUCAAGGUAUAGCCCAUGGAGUGGAAGUAAUGGGCUACAUUUUCUAAGAUAGAACAUUUCAACGGAAGGGGGCAUGAAACUACCCCCAGAAGGCGGAUUUAGCAGUAA
rnacentral:rRNA from 1 species